rnacentral:rRNA from 1 species
AAAAAGAGGGGCGGCCCCGGCACCACCGCGUAAUCGUAGGGUGCAAGCCGUUAUCCGGGAAUUAUUGGGCGUAAAGGGCUCGUAGGCGGUUCGUCGCGUCCGGUGUGAAAGUCCAUCGCUUAACGGUGGAUCCGCGCCGGGUACGGGCGGGCUUGAGUGCGGUAGGGGAGACUGGAAUUCCCGGUGUAACGGUGGAAUGUGUAGAUAUCGGGAAGAACACCAAUGGCGAAGGCAGGUCUCUGGGCCGUUACUGACGCUGAGGAGCGAAAGCGUGGGGAGCGAACAGGAUUAGAUACCCUGGUAGUCCACGCCGUAAACGGUGGAUGCUGGAUGUGGGGCCCGUUCCACGGGUUCCGUGUCGGAGCUAACGCGUUAAGCAUCCCGCCUGGGGAGUACGGCCGCAAGGCUAAAACUCAAAGAAAUUGACGGGGGCCCGCACAAGCGGCGGAGCAUGCGGAUUAAUUCGAUGCAACGCGAAGAACCUUACCUGGGCUUGACAUGUUCCCGACGACCCCAGAGAUGGGGUUUCCCUUCGGGGCGGGUUCACAGGUGGUGCAUGGUCGUCGUCAGCUCGUGUCGUGAGAUGUUGGGUUAAGUCCCGCAACGAGCGCAACCCUCGCCCCGUGUUGCCAGCGGAUUGUGCCGGGAACUCACGGGGGACCGCCGGGGUUAACUCGGAGGAAGGUGGGGAUGACGUCAGAUCAUCAUGCCCCUUACGUCCAGGGCUUCACGCAUGCUACAAUGGCCGGUACAACGGGAUGCGACAGCGCGAGCUGGAGCGGAUCCCUGAAAACCGGUCUCAGUUCGGAUCGCAGUCUGCAACUCGACUGCGUGAAGGCGGAGUCGCUAGUAAUCGCGAAUCAGCAACGUCGCGGGAAUCUCCCCCGGGCUCUU